GCAUGAGUAGCUCAACUGGAUAGAGCAGAGCCCUACGAAGGCUAAGGUUGGAGGUUCGAAUCCUCUCUCGUGCACCA
rnacentral:tRNA from 1 species